ACUCAAAUGAAUUGACGGGGACCCGCACAAGCGGUGGAGCGUGUGGUUUAAUUCGACGCUAAGCGAAGAACCUUACCAGGACUUGACAUCCCGGUCGUACUCCUUGGAAACAAGGAGGUCAGCCUGCUGGACCGGUGACAGGUGCUGCAUGGUCGUCGUCAGCUCGUGUCGUGAGAUGUUGGGUUAAGUCCCGCAACGAGCGCAACCCCUGUCGUGUGUUGGAUUUUUCACACGAGACCGCCUGGGUUAACCAGGAGGAAGGUGGGGAUGACGUCAGAUCAGCAUGGCCCUUAUGUCCUGGGCGACACACGCGCUACAAUGGCCGGCCCAAUGGGUUGCGAAGCCGCAAGGCGAAGCUAAUCCCAUCAAAGCCGGUCUCAGUUCGGAUUGGAGGCUGCAACUCGCCUCCAUGAAGCCGGAAUCGCUAGUAAACGCGGAUCAGCCAUGCCGCGUUGAAUACGUUCUCGGGUCUUGUACACACCGCCCGU
rnacentral:rRNA from 1 species